rnacentral:lncRNA from 10 species
CAGCUCACAGUGAAACGAGCUUGCAUGAGAGCAUCCCAGGACCACUGAACAUUCAGAGGGCUGGAGGCAGAGAAAAACUUCCCCUACUCAAGAAAAAGAAGCUAUUUUUGUCAAGUUAAAUGAGCCUGAACCUGCAGAGCUGAAUUGGCAGAUGAAUAUUGCUAAUUGGUGCAGUUUCUUCGGUGCAGGAAAGAGUUUCCAAUCAGACCGGCAAUUCAUUGGCCACAUGAAGAACAGCCAGUUGUAAGGGGUAAAAUAAAUUGGAGAAGAGAACAUCCACAUGGAUUAAGUCCCAAGCUCACCCUUUGUUAGUGAGAAUGUAGUCACGUGGCCAUACCUACUACAAGAGACAGAAUCUUGCUCUGUUGCCCAGGCUGGAGUGCAGUGGUACAGUCAUAGCUCACUGUUGCAGGAAAUCAGGGACCCCAAACAGAGGGACUGGCUGAAGCCAUGGCAGAAGAACAUGGAUUGUAAAGAUUUUAUGGACAUUUAUUAGUUCCCCAAAUUAAUACUUUUAUAAUUUCUUAUGCCUGUCUUUACUGCACUUUCUAAACAUAAAUUGUAAAGAUUUCAU